AACGAACGCUGGCGGCAUGCCUAACACAUGCAAGUCGAACGAGACCUUCGGGUCUAGUGGCGCACGGGUGCGUAACGCGUGGGAACCUGCCGUUAUGUUCGGGAUAACUCAGAGAAAUUUGGGCUAAUACCGGAUGAUGUCUUCGGACCAAAGAUUUAUCGCCUUUAGAUGGGCCCGCGUUGUAUUAGCUAGGUGGUGGGGUAAAGGCCUACCAAGGCGACGAUCCAUAGCGGGUCUGAGAGGAUGAUCAGCCACACUGGGACUGAGACACGGCCCAGAAUAUUACGGGAGGCAGCAGUGGGGAAUCUUGGACAAUGGGCGAAAGGCUGAACCAGCAAUGCCGCGUGAGUGAUGAAGGCCUUAGGGUUGUAAAGCUCUUUUACCCGCGAUGAUACUGACAGUAUCGGGAGAAUAAGCUCCGGCUAACUCCGUG
rnacentral:rRNA from 1 species